CUGAAAGGUAUUCAGUGGUGGCACGUGCUGC
rnacentral:piRNA from 1 species